UACGUAGGGUGCGAGCGUUGCCCGGAUUUAUUGGGCGUAAAGGGCGCGUAGGCGGCCUGCUAAGUCGAACGUGAAAUCCCUGGGCUCAACCCAGGAACUGCGUCCGAUACUGGUUGGCUUGAAUCCGGGAGAGGGACGUGGAAUUCCAGGUGUAGCGGUGAAAUGCGUAGGUAUCUGGAGGAACACCGGUGGCGAAGGCGACGUCCUGGACCGGCAUUGACGCUGAGGCGCGAAAGCCAGGGGAGCAAACGGG
rnacentral:rRNA from 1 species